CUCAGGGCGCCGCGGGAAGCGCGCCGUGCUCCGCCCUGCCUUCGUCGGCAGCCCUACCCAGGGCCUCGGCGGGAUAAAGCCGCCUUUCUAAAAUUUUUCCUUCUGGUUUACACUGUCGAGAUCUUAAUUUACAGAAUCGAUUAUGUUGAGAAAGGCCGCUGAGAUUAUCGGGUACAACCUACAACCGAACACCGUCGUGUCAACUAGACCAUGGCACCGAGUGUCCAGGCUUUUCUUAAACGCCUCCAAGGAUGGUGACUCUACCACCCCCCUGGGCAGCCCGUUCCAAUAUCUAAUCACCCUUUGUGUGAAGAAAUUCUUCUGAAUGUCUAACCAAAACCUCUCCUGCUGCAGUUUAAGAUUAUUUUUGCACCUCUGAGAGCCAGGCCCAAGCUAUGGAACUCUUGCCUAACCCCUUGUACUCAGGGAACCUGAAAUUGCAAAAAUGUGGGGAAAACCGAGAGUAAAAAGGACUUUGCCCACCAGGAUGAGGCAGUGCUGCCUUACAGGGUGCUCUGAGGAGGAAGGAAAUCCCAGCUGUGCGAGGAGCUGACCUGACAUAACACCCAAGCAGGGAGAAUGCCAGAGGACAGAAAAUAUAAACUGUUAAAGCUAUGUCUGAAAUCAAAACAACGAUGUCAUCAAGACUUUUCUCAAGAAAAAAAUCUGCUUGCCCCUUGCCCUGUUCAAGCCUCCGAAUCAGUCCCUCAGGGAUCCCUCCCUGAACGCCAGCCUUUCCAGCAGGCAGAGGACAACAGCAAGAGCUGUGCUAAAAAAGCUGUAGAGUGGUUUAGUCCGAGUUUUGUAAUGAUAAGCCUUUCUACAAGCCUAAGCCAAACUUCUCCAGGCACUGCACAAUCUGGGAGUGCAGAGAACAUACCUCCCUCGUAGGAUGAACAUUCUGAAAAUCACGGGUCACUAACAACAAACAAAUGUAGCAGCACCUGUACUGGCAAGGAACCAGGGUCUUUCGUCACCUUUCAACUGAUCCAACCUGGCCCCUCAUGCCCUGAGUGACCUACUUCUGCCAUCAUCAUCUGAUGAGAAUCUUCCCUUUCCAAAACAAACAAAGACCCAGGCUCUGCUCUUUGGACUGUGUCCCAAGCAGACCACAGAACACCCAGGUUAUCACCUCCUCAGAAAGACUCAGGCAAACCUGAGCCCAUUACCACAUACACUCACGUUCUCUUUCCAGAGACUAACCAGACGCUCCAAGAAAAUGCAAUUUCAAUAUCAACAUCAGUUUGUACAUGUCCCAGAAUAAAUGUAGGGUAUUACCUGUGAAAAUUCAGCUUGAGGGGGAGGAGAGCUGCCAGAACAGAAACCUGGAGGUGAUGAGCUCCAGUCAACUGCUGUCACUGUUCCCAGAUUAAUUAUCCACCAGUGAUCCCAGGUUUAACACACUAAUUGUGGUUAUUUUUGCUAACAGCUCAACCCAUCACAAUGUUAGAGAAGCCAUUUGCAUUAACCUGGAUGGAGCAUAAUUACAGAAAAAGAAAUCCAAGGAGCCUGGGAAUUACGCUUACUGCAGGCGCUUUGCCUACCCAGCACAUCAGGAUGCAGCGAGAGCCAGCCCUGGGGAAUGCAGCAGGCAUUUUGACUGAGCAAAAUAAACACCAGUGAAAUAAAUCAGGAUGACCAAAACAAUGUGGGGAGUCAGUGAUUGAACUAUACCAGUGCAAUCAAGCAUAAUGAAGGUAAUGCUGCAGAGCAGGCUCCUGGAGCCAAAAGCUGGCUUAGCUCUUCAGCAAAAUGUGGUUCCAGGUGUGCAGCUUCCAAUUACUGCCAGUGAGUAACUUGACUGACUUUUAAAUAUCAACUAAUUCAUUUAGUUUAUACUACCAUUAAUAGCAACUGUAGGCCCUCAUCAUUUAUCAUACCAAAAGGCUUAAUACAUCAAGAAAAAUCAAACCACAAAGAAAAUUGACCAACCUUUUAUACACCCUUAAUGAAAGAAAUUUUGUCACACUUUGUCAGAGCUUGGAUAAAAAGUUUCUAUGGCGUAAUCUGACUCCUGCAAAAAUAGUUCAAAAUUAUUUUUAGCCUUCUCUUCAGACAAUCCCAUCACAGCAGAAGGAGCUGCAGCUUUCACUAAGGGCUGGCCGGCCUUACAGACGCCUCACCCACAGCUACCAACUUCCACAGAAGCAGGACAUGGACCACAGAGCAAUCAUGGCCUUGCACAAAGCACCUGAACACAGCACGGUGCAGGAGACAGGAGCUCUGAGUGGAUGAUGACAAGCAGCAAAGAGCACAGCCUUCUUUGGCAGGGCAUCCUGCAUGCUCUUCCCAAAAACUACUGCCUGCACACCCUCAGCACACACAACAAACUGGUCAUGCCAGAGGAUGCCCAGCCUUGAAGCAGAACCCUUGAGUCUCAAUUUCAGAUUGUCCUCAGACAAUCUUUGUGAAUCUGCAUUCACAAAGGAUCCAGAAUCCUCUUGCAAAAUUCUCCUCCCGGUUUAAAAAAGUACUCAAACCUCUCUAGUACUUUCCUCCCCUUAACUAGCAAUAAAACUAACAUGCGGUUCUGGAAGAAGGAGCUGUCACAUUUUUUCAUAGCAGAUAUAAACAAGACUAAAAUUCCAUCCACAAAAAAUAUUAAAUGAAUGUUAAAGCUUUUCAAUUUAGAGGCCUUCAAAGAGGUACCACUUGCAGUACUGAGUAACUGCCUUUCCAGUCUGUACUUUAAUGUAGCAGUGGCUCUGAAGAGGAAAGGAGAAGGCACACAGGAAUAUUUCCACUAAAGUCACAAAGGCUACUCCAGGUAUUUUCAAGUGAUUUCUAAACAAGGGCAAGAAGGUGGUAAGGCAAACACAGGAGAAGAAACUGCCCAUCCUAUUAUCCUGCACACUUUUCUCACACACUAGUUUUCAUUUGUCCAAAGGAUGCUUGUCGUAGAUACCUUGUUUGUACUGAGAAAAAGUUCCAACAGUUUGUAUUGCUGACCACUUUAAAAACAGUAUAAUUCACUGCUUUAUAUGCAUAGUCAUGAACUGUAAUUCCUACUGUCCACUGCAAUCUAACUUUUUCACCCACAGGUGUCCCAACGACCUUAUAAUGGCACUUAGGAAUUUCUGACUUAGAAAAACAGGUUGUCUGCAUGCCUCUGAGGCCAUCCAUCAGAAAGGACAGCCAUUGAUCAUGGACCUUGACAUUUAACCACAAACUUCCUCUCAGGGGAAGAUACAAAUAUGCCUCAUUUAAUAAACAAGUUCUCCCUAGGAACAAGA